CCUACCUGUACUCCACUUGGGCGACAGCACAUCGUCUGCCUUCAGCUGAUGCAGUGACCUCACGGGGUGCUCAAUCAGUGUGCAGACCACAGACUUCAGCAUCACGGAGAGCCUUAAAUGAAACAUGACAUCAUUCAAUUGAGAAACAGGACAAUAGACACCACUGUGGGUAACUUGCAAAUGCAUACUUCACUGAGCAGCACCCUCUGACUUCCAUUCUUUUGUGAACAUCAAAUACAGCCCACACUCGCCUAAAGCUGCUCAGGGUUCUCGUUAAACUCCACAUAAAAUAAGCCAGAUCUUGGGAGCUCAGAGAGUUGCAAGUUCACUUCCUGAGGCUGAGCAUGGAGAGCGCCACUUGAAUCUGGCCUUCAGAUGGAAGUACAUCAGUCAGUUCACAGGACCAGUUGCAACAACUUCCCCCAAGAGGAUCCACCAGGAUCCACCAGAAAUUGGCAGUGCAGGGUGGUGGAAAGGCAGAUGAGAGGAAGGAUCCUCCCGAGGCUGUGCAGGCUGUCUCAGCUUCCAAUCUCACCCCCAGGGACCCUCCGGCCUCCACGUCGGUGUCUGUGUGCCCUGUACCUGUGCCCAGGCAGCGCCCUCCUUUCUGCCUAGCCGAGUGUGCUCCAAGCUCACAUGCUCUCUUCCCAUCU